ACAGAGCUUCUUCAUGAUUUCAUAACUGAAAUUUUACUAUGAAAAUUCCCUCAUUUUUUUUGGUCUACUACUUAUAAUUUUAACCAUAAUUCAAUGAUGACGUGAUAUUAUCCAAGAAAGUACAUUCCAAGGUUUUCAUACAUCCAAAGUAUAUAAUGGAUUUCGAUGAAGAAGACAAGAGGAUAUGU